CUCAAUCUCAUCCAGUACAACAAUAUUUGUUGUGCUUAUCUGGAGUUAGUUCAAGGGUUUGAUGUACAACUGCUAGUUCAGCCAUGCAGUCAUACAGGUUUAGAAUGACAUGGGGAACACCUCCCUCUCUCCUCCACCCCUCUCAUUUCUGCUUUCAUCUGCUCUUCUCUCAGGAAGGCUGUAUUGUCUCGUAUUGUCUUUAAGCCCUAAACACGAAAGCAAUCUGCUCAGCAACUGGCACAUCAGACGACAUGAGGCUUCCCUGUGAUAAACACUUGCAAUGUUUGAUUGCAUAACAAAAAAAAAAUCUUUCAUCCCUUUUAAACAUUGCAUCUAAAGGCAACAUGAAAUUAAA